CGCUCUGUGAACCCGCAGGUGUGACAGGUGUUAUUAGUGAACCCGCCAGGCGUGACGGGCGCUCUGUGAACCCGCAGAUGGGAAUAGAACCUUAUGAUGCACUUGCAGGUCAUUUUUAUGCCCUGUUUUCCUCUUUGCUCUAUUAGCCCAGCAUUGUAUUUCAGAAUCUCACCCAGCUCUUGUGUUUUGAUUCAGUUAUUUGGGAGUCUGUUAUUUGUACCAGUAUUACGUCUUGUGUUAUGGAAAGGAUUCGCCAUCCCCGUCUCCAGUGCCCUUAAACGAAAAGCAGAUGUCUCCAGAUCGGGUUUGUUGGCCGCUUCUCACAAGUCCUCUCCAUUUGAUCUCGUUGCUCGGCCUCAACAAAAACAAAAAAAAAGUCCGCGAUUUUACGUAUAAUAACACAGAGUCGUUUUUCUUGCCAGGCGGUCUUGUUUUUCCUAUGAGAUAUUAAGAGGCUUCCAAGCAGCCUGUUCUGAUUUGUCGUUCUGUUUCGUACAGAAUAUCCACACAGAUUGCAGCUGGCAAGAAGGAAGAACUUUUUAUAUAGUUCCAUUUUAUUUUUUGUCAAAUAUUCCACUGCUUGUAUUUAGAAAGACUACACUGAUGUAGUUACAAUAGUAUAUGCAGCCAUUAUCUGCUCAAAGCAGGAAAAGCUGUUCUUGUUAGCUGCUUCAUAUUCAGCUUAUCAAUUCCCAUUUAUUUUAUUAUAAUGUUAUUAAAGUGGAACUAAUCCCUCCUAUCUUUACAGGAAUCUGCCAUCUUAGCCUUUGUUUGAUCAGCAGUUGCCAUGGUGCUGCACAUUAAACCAGUUAUUUGAUUUUUAGUUUGGUUGUGAACACAAGCAACUGUGCUAGUUAUCAGUGACUGCAUGCCUUGAAUGUUAGUGAGGAAUGAGUUAAAUCAAUGGGUUUAGUUCUGCUUUAGAGUUCUGUUAAAGUGGAACUAACUAAAGGUAGAACUACUUGCCUUAGUUCCAAUGUUCCCACGUCUGCAAAGUCCAUCACUUGCGCCGGUAUCUUCUUCCAGGCGUCGGUCUUUGCUGACAGCCAAUCGCGGUAGUCAUGUGACCAUAAGCCCCGUCUGGCUCCAAGCAUGGCAAACCCCUUACAGGGCCAGCGCCAAAUGGGUAGCAUAUACUUUAAUGUGGUAGUAAACUCUCAUUCGUUAUUUUUACCUACAGGUAAGGUUCUAAUAGAGCUUACCUGUAGGUAAAAUGAAUAUCUUCUAAACGUGCAUAGUUGUAGGAGAUUUUCUAGCCAGCAGCAGCCGGUGACGUCACUGGCGCAUGCGUUCUGAAGGAACGGCAUACCUGUGCUGUUCCUUCAGAGCUGUGUGACGUCAGCUCGGGCCCUCCAAGCAGACAAACCCAGAAGGAAGACCAGGGGAAGAUGGAAGUGCCUACAGUGGUGACAGCACGCCGCUCGAGGGUUCCUUUUUCAGGCAAGUCCUUCAAAAUGUAUGUAAUGCACAAUAGCACCUUAAGGCUGUACCGCACAGGGGGUAACCUUCUUCUUCCCUUUUUUUUUAUUUUAGAUUAUUUGCAUAUCUUCAUAAAUGUGGGAGAAGAGGAUAUGUAGUACACAGGUGAACUAGGCAGGGAUGUAAUACUGCCUGAGAUUACAGUGCAGGAAGUUAGGAGCACCAGGAUUUAUGGGAGAAUAACAGGUAUUUUUUUGCAGCAGCGUUGCGCCAUUGACUCCCGCGUCUGUCAAUCAAAGUCAGUGAGCCAAUGAGGAGGGAAAGGGGGCGGAGCCGCAGCUCUGUAUCUGAAGGGACACAGGGAGCUGCGGCUUGGUUC